UACGGGGGGGGCAAGCGUUGUUCGGAAUUACUGGGCGUAAAGGGCUCGUAGGUGGCCAACUAAGUCAGACGUGAAAUCCCUCGGCUUAACCGGGGAACUGCGUCUGAUACUGGAUGGCUUGAAUUCGGGAGAGGGAUGUGGAAUUCCAGGUGUAGCGGUGAAAUGCGUAGAUAUCUGGAGGAACACCGGUGGCGAAGGCGGCAUCCUGGACCGAGAUUGACGCUGAGGCGCGAAAGCUAGGGGAGCAAACGGG
rnacentral:rRNA from 1 species